rnacentral:rRNA from 1 species
UACGUAGGGGGCUAGCGUUGUCCGGAUUUAUUGGGCGUAAAGAGCGUGUAGGCGGCCAGGUAGGUCUGGUGCGAAAACUCGAGGCUCAACCUCGAGCUGUCGGUGGAAACCGUGUGGCUAGAGUCCGGAAGAGGAGAGUGGAAUUCCCGGUGUAGCGGUGAAAUGCGUAGAGAUCGGGAGGAACACCUGCGGCGAAAGCGGCUCACUGGACCAUAACUGACGCUGAUGCACGAAAGCUAGGGGAGCAAACAGG